AGCGAACGCUGGCGGCAGGCCUAACACAUGCAAGUCGAACGGACCCUUCGGGGUUAGUGGCGGACGGGUGAGUAACACGUGGGAACGUGCCUUUUGGUUCGGAAUAGCUCCUGGAAACGGGUGGUAAUGCCGAAUGUGCCCUUUGGGGGAAAGAUUUAUCGCCAUUAGAGCGGCCCGCGUCUGAUUAGCUAGUUGGUGAGGUAAAGGCUCACCAAGGCGACGAUCAGUAGCUGGUCUGAGAGGAUGACCAGCCACAUUGGGACUGAGACACGGCCCAAACUCCUACGGGAGGCAGCAGUGGGGAAUCUUGCGCAAUGGGCGAGAGCCUGACGCAGCCAUGCCGCGUGAAUGAUGAAGGUCUUAGGAUUGUAAAAUUCUUUCACCGGGGACGAUAACGACGGUACCCGGAGAAGAAGCCCCGGCUAACUUCGUGCCAGCCGCCGCCGUAAAAC
rnacentral:rRNA from 1 species